UAGGGAAUAUUGGGCAAUGGGGGAAACCCUGACCCAGCAACGCCGCGUGAGGGAAGAAGGCCUACGGCUGUAAACCUCUGUCAUAUGGGAAGAAGGAAUGACAGUACCAUAUGAGGAAGCUCCGGCUAACUACGUGCCAGCAGCUGCGGUAAUACGUAGGGAGCAAGCGUUGUCCGGAAUUACUGGGCGUAAAGGGUGCGUAGGCGGCAUGUUAAGUUAGAUGUCAAAUACCCGGGCUUAACCCGGGGACGCAUCUAAAACUGGCGUGCUUGAGUGCAGGAGAGGAAAGCGUAAUUCCUAGUGUAGCGGUGUAAUGCGUAGAUAUUAGGAGGAACACCAGUGGCGAAGGCGGCUUUCUGGACUGUAACUGACGCUGAAGCACGAAAGCGUGGGGAGCAAACA
rnacentral:rRNA from 1 species